UACAGAGGUCUCAAGCGUUGUUCGGAUUCAUUGGGCGUAAAGGGUGCGUAGGUGGCGCCGUAAGUCGGGUGUGAAAUCCCGCGGCUCAACUGCGGGCUUGCAGCCGAUACGGGCAGGCUAGAGUUCGGUAGGGGAGACUGGAAUUCCUGGUGUAGCGGUGAAAUGCGCAGAUAUCAGGGAGGAACACCGGUGGCGAAAGGCGGCAUCCUGG
rnacentral:rRNA from 1 species